CACUCACAGUCACGCAAUAUUAAUUAUUUCUUGAUUUUAUUUGCUCUGUAUUCUCUUUUCUUAUUAUUUGCAGCUUUAGUAAGUUGUAGUUGCCUUCCUUGCUAGUUAUAUGAUUGGCUUUGUAUUCACUUGUUAUAUUAUUUAUCUAUAUAUUUAUUUUAGUUAUGAUCUUGCUGCCAUACCCAAGCUUUUUUGCAUUUUCAUUUUGUUAUUUAUUUUGGCUUUAGUUAAUGGAUUUGCUCUGCAACUUUGCCCAUAAUUUUGGGUUUGUUGUGUUGGCUAUGUUUUUUUAUUAAUGAAGUGCUAAUGCUUUCUUCUUGGAGGUCGAUCGGUUCAUACCAAAAAAAACAUAUCUGGACUACAAAGUACAAUUGAACAUCAAACUUUGAGCCAUUUCAGUUUUUCUUUUUUAGACUAAUUUUAUUUGAGAUAGUUUUUUGGUUGCAAGAGUUGUAUUUCUUUUUUCUUUUUAUUUUUAAAUUAGAUAUCCUAAUUAAAGGCCAUUGAUGUUGAUAGUUUAUUAAUUGGUAUGUAAUUUUGCUUUCAUUUUAGCGGCUUCAUUGGCUGUUAAAUUGGAAUGAAACUUUAUUUGCAACAGUUUGCAAGAGGUAUAAGACUUUUGGUUUGUGUAUGUGUAACUAUAAGAGGAACAAGAAAAGAGAACGAGACUGCAUUUUUAAUGUCAUUGAUGGGGGAUUUUUCUAUAGAUUUGGAGCUUGACUAGGAUUUGAUUUGUGAAUUUGUCUUGGAAAUAUUGGAUCACGGAAUCUGGAUUUUCAAGGGGAAUAAGGAUACAGAAUAAAAUGAGGAAUCACAAAUGACUCAAUGUUCACGGAAGGCAUCUAUGAUUGUGAUUGGUUUUGAUCAAGGAAUAUACUAAUAAUAUGGAGCAAUAUUCAUGGUUUACUUUUGGUGUAUCUUGCUAUGUUUUUGUUUUUCAUUUUUGAAGUAAAAGAUGUUCAUGAUUAUGGAACUUUAUUAUGUAUGCUUUCAAACAUAAGUUAGAACUAAGGUUUGAAUUAGUUCUUGUUUAAUGUAGUACUUAUGGUUUAUCAAUCUAUUUAAUAUUACAUUUUGUGAUUAA